CUUUGUUAUUGUAACCUUUAUUUAAUGUUUGAUUCAGGGGUGAUAUAUAUUAUGAAGAAUAAUUAGAUGCUAGUCCCUCUCAGGUGUAAAAGAGUUAACACAGUCUCAGUUCUGGAGGAAAUUGUAGUAACACUGUUGCAACUCUUCUAAAUGUAGAGUAUUGUUGUACAUGUAGUUAUUUCUCAUGGGGUGUCUUUCCUGGAUGGAAAUUUCAUCCUGUAUCUUUCAGAUGUAAAAAAGUGAAGUUCUUAACAAAAAACGUUUUGUGCUUUUUGUUUUGUUGUAGGCAUCCUCACUUGAUGUAAAAAAAUCUGCAGCAAGGAAGUUCAUUGAUUUUGUGAACAAUGGUCCCUAGCCUUACCAUGUUGUCAAUGAGUGCAGAAAGGUGUUAUCAGCAGCAGGAUUUAAACAGCUCAAGGAAAAAGAGCACUGGGAUAUCAAGCCUUCUGAUAAGGAAGUGUGUGUGUGUGUGUGACAUGAUUCUCCAUGUGGAACCACUAUAGGCCCCAUCCUGUGUGCCAAGCUUGGUUUAUUAACCUUAGCCAUUGGCGGUCCCCAGUUAGCAAUGUAAUCCAUCCGAGAAAUGUACUGCUCCUCCAUUGUACAUCAGGAGACACUGCUAUUCAAGAGUUUCUUUGAGACACUUCCAACAGUACUGGAUUCCGUAGUAGGAGCUGACUAAAGUCAAGCCAAAGGCGUUCCUGAGCUACUUUUGCAUGAAUCCUCUUCCCAAACUCUGUUUAAAUGGUUUUUGCUUGAAAAACAAUGUAGGUUCAACUCAGCGAAGCAAACAAGAUACUUAGUCAAAAGAAAAGGGACAUAAUCCCAGCACAAUCAAUGUAAAAAUUGUGUAACAAGGGAAGGGGUAGAAGACGGGAGCACGUAAACAAGAGAUAGUAUUCAAACAGUGUAUCCUGAAAACUUUCUCAUUUAUCCAUUGUCCAUUAUAAUCAGGCAGGACGUAUACAGGCAUAAAACGGUGGUUCAAACUUGCGGUUUCUUCAAAAUUUUCAGAGGUUACUUUGUGGCAAAAUCAUGCCAAAUCUAAUAUAUCUCAGAGAAUAGAACCGAUAGUUAUCUUUUAGAUACUUAAAUUGGACACGAAAGUCUGAGGAUGCAGCCAACUCGUAAGUAGAGAAGUGAGUACCGCGACAAAUGAAAUAAAAACGAAA